UACAGAGGUCUCAAGCGUUGUUCGGAUUCAUUGGGCGUAAAGGGUGCGUAGGCGGCGCGGUAAGUCGGGUGUGAAAUCUUGGAGCUUAACUCCGAAACUGCAUUCGAUACUGCCGUGCUUGAGGACUGGAGAGGAGACUGGAAUUUACGGUGUAGCGGUGAAAUGCGUAGAUAUCGUAAGGAAGACCAGUGGCGAAGGCGGGUCUCUGGACAGUUCCCUGACGCUGAGGCACGAAGGCCCAGGGGAGCAAACGGG
rnacentral:rRNA from 1 species